GGAAUUUUAGACAUUGAUAUCCCCCAAGCUGGGACUAUAUGACAAUGAAGAUUCCAUUGCUGUUCAUAGGCGGGUCAUAAAGAGCCUGUGGCAUGCCAUGGUGGUGUAAUGGGGCUGUUGGAGGCUGGGCACAUUCACGAUAUGUUUUAGUCUGUAGGACUGUGAAUUAGUCAAAUGCCUGGGGUGAGGAAAAGACAAUAUAUUAAGAUACUUAAUGCUGGGCUAGCAUGUAGUAAUCAUGCCCCAGAUCUCAUUGGCUUAAUACAACAAAAGUUCAUUUCUAGCUCACAUUAUGUCUCCAAACAUUGGUUGGUAGGUAGUACAGGGAGGGGCACUCUGUUUCACACACUCUUUCAGGGACCCAGGUAGACAGAGCCUCCUUCAUCCUGUGGCUUUACCACUUAGAACACAACGUUUGUGUGGCCUCUGGGGCAGCACAGGAGAAGCAAGAACAGGUGGAACCUCUUCAUCAGUGCUCAAUCACCCUAACUUCUCAUUGCUCAGAACGCAAGGUCAUCUCAAAGCUUUAAGAAGUAGGUUAAACAUUGCGUUGUUCCUGUGUCUUAUACUUGGACUCCAUGAGCCAGAACAAUUUAAUCCAAGGGAAGAACUCCAAUCGCAGGUCUUUCAGGCACAGACAAGCUCUAGAGCGAGCUUUGGGGUAAGAAGGCCUUGUAUUAGAAUGGUUCAAAUCAUUGGAGUUUGAAGGCAGACACGUUCCUUGGCGAGAGACUCAUUCUGAGAGGCAGGAAUUCACACGGUGCCUCUCACCACGAGAUGAAUCUUUAACCAGCUGCGGGAAGCUUGCUUAUCACAAAGCUAACAAACCUGAACUGUGUGGGCAGCCAAACAGGUUGACAGCAGGAGAAACCAGUACCCGAGGCACCGUUUGAAGAAGAAAGCCAGAACUGUGAUGCCCAGACAUUAACGCCUAAUCAAAUAUUCAUUAAAACAAGGAAAGACAGCACAGGAUUGGCAACAGCUGAAUUUUUUAUUAAAGAAACGAGUAAAACCUA